GACGAACGCUGGCGGCGUGCUUAAUACAUGCAAGUCGAACGGAAAGGUGCUGCGCUUGCUGGUUGCACGAUUGGCGAACGCGGGAGUAAAACGUGAGUAACACGCCCCUGACUUUGGGAUAACUUCAGGAAACUGGGGCUAAUAUCGCAUAUGAGCUCUUGCUGCAUGGUGGUGGUUGGAAAGUGCCGGCGGUUGGGGAUGGACUCGCGGCUUAUGAGCUUGUUUGUGGAGUAGUUGCUUACCAAGGUUUUGACGGAUAGGCGGCCUGAGAGGGUGAACGGGCACAUUAGGACUGAGAUACGGCGCAGACUCCUACGGGAGGCAGCAGUGGAGAAUAUUGCGCAAUGGGCGGAAGCGUGAUACGGCGACCCCGCGUGCGGGAUGACCGCCUUCGGGUUAUAAACCGCUUUCGCAUUUGACGAAGCGUGAGUGACGGUAAUGAGUAAAGAAGCACCGGCUAACUACGUG
rnacentral:rRNA from 1 species